GGGAGAGUAACACGUGGGAACGCGCCCUUCGGUUCGGGAUAACCCAGGGAAACUUGGGCUAAUACCGAAUACGCCCUUACGGGGAAAGAUUUAUUGCCGAAGGAACGGCCCGCGUCCGAUUAGCUAGUUGGUGAGGUAACGGCUCACCAAGGCGACGAUCGGUAGCUGGUCUGAGAGGAUGACCAGCCUCACUGGGACUGAGACACGGCCCAGACUCCUACGGGAGGCAGCAGCGGGGAAUAUUGGACAAUGGGCGCAAGCCUGAUCCAGCCAUGCCGCGUGGGUGAAGAAGGCCCUAGGGUUGUAAACCCCUUUCAGCAGGGAAGAUAAUGACGGUACCCGCAGAAGAAGCCCCGGCUAACUCCGUGCCAGCAGCCGCGGUAAUACGGAGGGGGCUAGCGUUGUUCGGAAUUACUGGGCGUAAAGGGCGCGUAGGCGGCUUUGCAAGUCAGAUGUGAAAUCCCCGGGCUUAAUUCGGGAAUUGCAUCUGAAACUGCUUAGCUUGAGUUCUGGAUGGGGUAGUGGAAUUCCCAGUGUAGUGGUGAAGUGCGUA
rnacentral:rRNA from 1 species